AGGCCUUUCGGGGUACACGAGCGGCGAACGGGUGAGUAACACGUGGGUGAUCUGCCCUGCACUUCGGGAUAAGCCUGGGAAACUGGGUCUAAUACCGGAUAUGACCUCCUGUCGCAUGGUGGGUGGUGGAAAGAUUUAUCGGUGCAGGAUGGGCCCGCGGCCUAUCAGCUUGUUGGUGGGGUAAUGGCCUACCAAGGCGACGACGGGUAGCCGACCUGAGAGGGUGACCGGCCACACUGGGACUGAGACACGGCCCAGACUCCUACGGGAGGCAGCAGUGGGGAAUAUUGCACAAUGGGCGAAAGCCUGAUGCAGCGACGCCGCGUGAGGGAUGACGGCCUUCGGGUUGUAAACCUCUUUCAGCAGGGACGAAGCGCAAGUGACGGUACCUGCAGAAGAAGCACCGGCUAACUACGUGCCAGCAGCCGCGGUAAUACGUAGGGUGCAAGCGUUGUCCGGAAUUACUGGGCGUAAAGAGUUCGUAGGCGGUUUGUCGCGUCGUUUGUGAAAACCAGCAGCUCAACUGCUGGCUUGCAGGCGAUACGGGCAGACUUGAGUACUGCAGGGGAGACUGGAAUUCCUGGUGUAGCGGUGAAAUGCGCAGAUAUCAGGAGGAACACCGGUGGCGAAGGCGGGUCUCUGGGCAGUAACUGACGCUGAGGAACGAAAGCGUGGGUAGCGAACAGGAUUAGAUACCCUGGUAGUCCACGCCGUAAACGGUGGGCGCUAGGUGUGGGUUCCUUCCACGGAAUCCGUGCCGUAGCUAACGCAUUAAGCGCCCCGCCUGGGGAGUACGGCCGCAAGGCUAAAACUCAAA
rnacentral:rRNA from 1 species